rnacentral:rRNA from 1 species
UACGUAGGUGGCAAGCGUUGUCCGGAUUUACUGGGUGUAAAGGGCGUGCAGCCGGGCUGACAAGUCAGAUGUGAAAUCCCGCGGCUCAACCGCGGAACUGCAUUUGAAACUGUCAGUCUUGAGUACCGGAGAGGUCGUCGGAAUUCCUGGCGUAGCGGUGAAAUGCGUAGAUAUAUGGAGGAACGCCGGUGGCGAAAGCGGCUCUCUGGCCUGUAACUGACACUGAGGCUCGAAAGCGUGGGGAGCAAACAGG